GGGGUGGUGGCGUAGUUGGCUAGCGCGCAGGUCGCAUAGCUAUAAUGUGAGUGAUCCUGAGGUCGAGAGUUCUAACCUCUCUCACCCCA
rnacentral:tRNA from 1 species